CCUGCCCAUAGAGGUGUUGCACAUAUGGCUGUUGUGGCAUAUGUGUAUGCCAGCAGAUGGGAGAGAGGAGAGAGGCUAUGUCUACACCAAGUGUUCUGACCUAUGAACAGCUGAAUGAUUAGUAGCCCAAGAUU